rnacentral:rRNA from 1 species
GACGAACGCUGGCGGCGUGCUUAACACAUGCAAGUCGAACGGUAUGGCCCUUCGGGGUACACGAGUGGCGAACGGGUGAGUAACACGUGGGUGAUCUGCCCUGCACUUCGGGAUAAGCCUGGGAAACUGGGUCUAAUACCGGAUAGGACCACUGCCUGCAUGGGUGGUGGUGGAAAGCUUUUGCGGUGUGGGAUGGGCCCGCGGCCUAUCAGCUUGUUGGUGGGGUGAUGGCCUACCAAGGCGACGACGGGUAGCCGGCCUGAGAGGGUGACCGGCCACACUGGGACUGAGAUACGGCCCAGACUCCUACGGGAGGCAGCAGUGGGGAAUAUUGCACAAUGGGCGCAAGCCUGAUGCAGCGGCGCCGCGUGAGGGAUGACGGCCUUCGGGUUGUAAACCUCUUUCAGCACCGACGAAGCGCAAGUGACGGUAGGUGCAGAAGAAGGACCGGCCAACUACGUGCCAGCAGCCGCCGUAAUAC